CCUAUUCGAAGGGGCAAGAUGUAUUUUUCCAUAUUAAAUAUUUUGAAAAAGUUGAAUGCAGCAUUGUGCCAGAUAAUUAAAAUGUAAAUUUCAGUAUCUAUGCUUGCUUUGUGAUUUUUUAAAAUACAUUUAAGUUAGUUGUCUUUUAAAACAUGUGGUCAGCUGUUGUAUUCACAUAUGGUCAAAUGAUCAAAGUCUGAACUCCUCUCUAAUUGUCCCCCCGCUGCUCGUCUGCUCUGUCCGUGAUCAAGGCCUCAGCAGGUGAUGAGAAAGGCAUGAGAACAGGCUGGAAGGAGAAUGAGGCACCGAGAGGCCCAAGCUGAAAGAAAUAAAGACUUCCAGUACAUCACCCUGACAGUAAAGAGCGAAGGAAAAGUGACGUCUGCUAAUAAUGAAGUCUCGGAAGGAUUGGAGAGACGAUUGAGUGGAGAAACCCAAGGAAUACCUUUGUGUUUAUAGGGCAAGGGAGUGCACAGGGACAUGUCUUCCACCUUCCCAUCUACGGAAUCCUCCUCAUCCUAUCAGGCCCAAUUUGAAAUGCCAUAUUCUCUGAGAAGCCUUCCCCAGUCUCCAAGGUGAGUUGGAAAUUGUUAUAUUUUCCUUUGGUCUGCGACCUUGUGACCCACUUCUCAAUGGUAGCUUAUAUUUGUCUGCCUUGCAUUAGAGGUAAUUUCAGUAUAUUUUCCCUUUUCCUAUCUCCACCCCAGCUAGGAUGUAAGGUUUUAAGGCUGUUAGGUCAAUGAUAAUUAUAUUUAUCAGUUACUUAACACCGACUAAGUGCCAGUCAUUAUAUAAUUGAGUGUUUUAAAGCUGCAAAAUACUCUCUGUCAGAGGUGUUGUCAUCCCAUUUCACUGAGGCUCAGAGAGGUCAGGCAACUGACCUGGGAUCUCCCAACUCACAAUACUUUCACUUGACUCAAAGCCCACACUCCUUCCAUUCCACUCCCCAACCAUAAGCUCUCCUUGAGGGAAGGAACUAAGGCUUCCAGCCAGAGUAAGUGUUCACUAAGUUGUCAAAUGAAUAUGUACAUGAAGAACCGUGAGUUACUCUGCUCAUGGUAUCAAUAAUGAGCUGCUAGAAAAAGGGCUUGCCUCCAGGUUGGUGCCCCUCCUCUUGUGGCCUCCCAGGGUGGGUCAUUCAGGUCUCCUUUCCCUCGCUCCUUGUGUACUGUGCUAUGGCC
rnacentral:lncRNA from 1 species